rnacentral:tRNA from 1 species
CAGAAGAUAGUUUAAUUAAAAUAUUAAUUUUGGGGAUUAGUGAUGGGAGUAAUCUUUCUUCUGA